CUCCUCCUCCUCCUCCUCCUCGGGCGGCAGCGGGGCCCUGCGUGAGGGGGGCGGUAACGGGCGGGCUGUGACAGCGCGGCGACAGGCGCUGCGGCGGGGUGUCAGCGCGUGCGACACCGGGGUGCCGACACAGCCCACAAGGACCCGGCAGCCCUGACUCGGCUCUGCUCUGCCCUUCUCUCCCCUGAGAGCGGAGCUGAGGCGGUCGGUGGAGUGAGUUGGGGCGCGCCGUAGGCCUGCGCCUGUGCGCUGCUCGGGCCGCGCUUCCACAGCCCGUUACCGUGCUGAGAAAGAGCUCAGCAGCUUUGCCUGUCCCAUGCUGACAUCCCUCCGAGCAGAUUGCUACCUGAGAUGACCUCUCCAGAAGACAUGGAGCCAAAAUCUAUUUUCAUUAAAAAUGAUGCCAGAGGAAACAGGUCUUUAUUCUUACCCAGUAGUUUAGAAGAAGAGAUUUUUCCUCAGUGUUUCCUGUACUUCUGCCAGUCAUCCUCUUUGGAAGCACCUCGUACAGGAGGAAAGGAGACAAGAAAUUGGAAAUUGCUGGGGAAAUGUUGGGAGAAAGAAGCCUGUUCGAAGGAAGCCAAGACAGGAACGUAGGGGAUGAUGGAGCUGCUUUGAGUAGGCUCUGACUCAGGGCAGGGCAGGGCAGGGCAGGAGAAGACUUUGACUGAUGGAAGCUGCUGACCCCAUUUCUGUACCUCUCAGGGGAGCUUAGGAGCCCUACAGCAGCAUGCAGCUGAUAGCAUUUGUAUCUCCCAAUCUUAACAACCACUGUUUCUGAGUGUUGGCUAGGAAUGUGGGAGACCUGAUUUCUCAGUGCUCCUCUAAGGGAGUUAAAGAAACACAUCUCCAGCGCUUCCACAUUAAUAUCCUCAUCACUCAGUUAAAUGUUGUAUGACAUGCUAGUAUACCCCUUUGGAAGCUUUGCCCCUAUAUAAAAAAGAGAAUGUGGUUUUCUGACCCAGUGGUUAAAGCACUGAGCUGAAAAAGGGACAACUUGGUCUUGAUUCCUCUUCUAAAGAUCCCUGAUUUAUCCAGUGAUUGUUUACUGUAAAGAUCACCAUAGUUCCAGUUCCAGACUGCAAAUUCCAAAUGGACAUAAUUAUUUUGUCAUAAGCCAGUAUUUAAGCCCAGAGAAGGGUGAGAGUCAGGACACAUUCUUGGCAUUUGUAUUUUUCUACUGGAUAAUUUAAAUAGCUUCCUUCUCAGUAAUAGCUGACACCUGUGCUGAGGUUCUGUAUCUUCUCAGUGCAGCAAGAUUUGGUGCUGCAAGUCUACUCUAAGAGCUAAGCAGCAAAAAGUUAGUUGAUUGCCUUUAUGGGUUUUUGUGACUUCCUUCACGUCACCUAUGAGCUUUGAGAGCAAGAAAACCCAAUGUCCCAUAUCAUUCUUAUGCCUAAACCUUCUAAUUGUCAUUCCUGCUUAACAACAUGAAGAUUUAGAAAUCUGGUUACUGUGCUGCAUUUACGGACUUUCAGCUAAGUGAUAAUGAGCCUAAAGAUGAACAAGAUAGUCUAUCACAGUUAAUAAUGUAUAUUUGUGUGAUAUCACUGUUGUGCUUAACACUUAAAGAAGCCAAAUAUAAAAUACAACUUAAAUUUGAAGAUUCCAGCCAAUAAUGCUGGAACAGCCAAGAUCUAUUGUAGCAGUUCAGGAAGCAAGCUCCAUUUUCACUGAAAUUCAUAAGAAAAUUUGUACAAAGAGAAGCUGCUUUUGAAGCUAGAUUCUAGCACAUUGCUGUAAUGCCUAAUAUCAUGAGCAGAUACCCUGGAGGGCUGCUACAUAGUUCAACACACACACAUAGUUAAGUGACAGGGGAGGAGCAAUUCAGCUGUAGAGGCAUCUCCCUUUAUCCAUAUCACAUCCUGACCAAGCUCUGAAAGUCAAUUGCAUAUUGCCCUGGCAGUAUUAUGUGCUGUAAUAAAACUAAUUGAUGUUAAGUGAAUGUUGUCUACCAUAUCAGUUUAACAAAAUUAAAUGUUUCUGUCAUAUUUUCCUACCAUGAGUUUACUUCAGUACAAAAGUGAAAAAGAUGCUGCUGCAAGGAAUGACAUAGUAGGACUGAGAUUUUGUUCUUUUGCAGGAAAUGGUGUCCAGGUCAAAAGUACAUUCUGCAAUAGUUUAGAUCUGCAAAGUGGACUUCAAAAUUGCUGAUCAAUCUCCAGUCUUUUCCCUGCAUGCUUCAUUGCCAGAGAUACAGGUCUUGUAAAGAAAAUUUAGGAGGCAACUCAGCUGAUGGUGUACAAAGGUAUAAUAGAACCUAUCUUGUUCUUCUACUAGCCCUGCAGUGCUAACCUUACUAGGAUCUGGCUUAUCAGUAAAUAUAUGGUUUGAAAAGAAGGGGCAGCUAUACUGAGAAGAAAGUUGACACAUAUAAUUACUUUCCUGAUUCUAACUAAACUAUAAAAAAUGAUCAUUUCACAUUGCCAGUAACACUGCAAACAAACUUAGCUAUCAGGUAUGAACUACCUCGACACCACUGCUGUAAUUACCACAUUAGUGUACAGAUGGGUGUGUGCAGCUUUGCAUUUUAAAAUUGUAGCUGGCCUUUGCUUUCAUCCAGCCUCUAGCUAAUUUUUCUGUGAUCUGAAAGAUAAAUACAUUUUUCCCCUCUUAAGAGAAAAUAUCAUAGCAUGCUGUAAUUUCAGGGUUUGUUUGCCGUUUUUUGGUUGUCAUUUACAUUAGUGUAAGGUUAAGGAUCCUCAAGCAGGAUUCAGGAUUCUAUUGCACCCAAACACAAACCAAAAAGAUUAUUCUUGUUUGAAAGGACAAAAGGCCCGGUUGUUGGAAGUCAGUAAAAGCUAGUUAAAUUGGCAACCUCCAAAGCUAUUUCAUAUAGUUGCUUGCAGUAGAACCCAGUUGUUAGCAUACAAAUGUAUCUGUUCAGAUCCCUUUAGCUAUAAUGGAAGUUUCACUACUUCAAGGUUGCAUACUGUCUGUUAUUGGGACAUCUCUUGGUAUACUAUGAAGGUAAAAUGAACAGCAUGCUACCACACAGGCAUAUAGUAGUACUGUCUCCUCUGUCUUAACAUCUGCCUGCAUAUUGCAAAUAAAAUGGUCAGACCUA